rnacentral:pre_miRNA from 1 species
AGGGGGAGGUCGGAUCCUGGGCUGUGUCCCCGGUGCCCUGUGCUACUGCACCUGCGCUGUUGGAUUCGCGCUCCCUUAGCGGCUCAGCCCCCU